rnacentral:rRNA from 1 species
CGAUGAGGCCCCUUCGGGGGCACAUCAGCGGCGAACGGGUGGGUAACACGUGGGUUAUCUGCCCCUUAGUUCGGAAUAGCUCCUGGAAACGGGUGGUAAUGCCGGAUGUGGCUGUAGCGGCCAAAGCUCGCAAGAGCGCUAAGGGAUGAGCCUGCGGCGGAUUAGGUAGUUGGUGGGGUAACGGCUUACCAAGCCUACGAUCCGUAGCUGGCCUGAGAGGGUGGUCAGCCACACUGGGACUGAGACACGGCCCAGACUCCUACGGGAGGCAGCAGUUGGGGAUCUUGCACAAUGGGCGAAAGCCUGAUGCAGCGACACCGCGUGGGUGCUACGGCCUUCGGGUCUUAAAGCCCUUUUAGGAGAGAAGAAAGCGUCGGAUUGUCCGGCGCCUGACACAACUUCCUGAAUAAGCCCCGGCUAACUACGUGCCAGCAGCCGCGGUAAUACGUAGGGGGCGAGCGUUGUCCGGAUUUACUGGGCGUAAAGGGUUCGUAGGCGGUUUGCCAAGCCUCACGUUAAAGCCCCGGGCUCAACUCGGGAUCCGCAUGGGAUACUGGCAGACUUGAGGACAGGAGGGGCGAGCGGAACGUUGCAAGUAGCGGUGAAAUGCAUUGAUAUGCAACGGAACACCAAUGGCGAAGGCAGCUCACUGGCCUGUUUCUGACGCUGAGGGACGAAAGCUAGGGUAGCGAACGGGAUUAGAUACCCCGGUAGUCCUAGCUGUAAACGAUGGGUACUAGUCGUCGGGGGUAUCGACCCCCUCGGUGACGCAGCUAACGCACUAAGUACCCCGCCUGGGGACUACGGCCGCAAGGUUGAAACUCAAAGGAAUUGACGGGGGCCCGCACAAGCGGUGGAGCAUGUUGCUUAAUUCGAUGCAACGCGAAGAACCUUACCAGGGCUUGACAUCCCUCUGACCGCUUCUUAAUCGAAGCUUCCCUUCGGGGCAGAGGAGACAGGUGGUGCAUGGUUGUCGUCAGCUCGUGUCGUGAGAUGUUGGGUUAAGUCCCGCAACGAGCGCAACCCUUGUCAUUAGUUGCCAUCAGGUUAAGCUGGGCACUCUAGUGAGACCGCCGGGGAUAACUCGGAGGAAGGUGGGGAUGACGUCAAAUCAUCAUGCCCCUUAUGUCCUGGGCUACACUCGUGCUACAAUGGUCGGUACAGCGAGAAGCAAACCUGUGAAGGGGAGCAAAACUUCAAAACCGGCCCCAGUUCGGAUUGCAGGCUGAAACCCGCCUGCAUGAAGUCGGAGUUGCUAGUAAUCGUGAAUCAGAAUGUCACGGUGAAUGCGUUCCCGGGUCUUGUACACACCGCCCGUCACACCAUGGAAGUUGGGGGCGCCCGAAGUCGGCCAAAUAAUAGGUGCCUAAGGC